UAAACCCGUAAGGCGCAAG
rnacentral:snRNA from 1 species